ACACUGAUGGUGAAGUGGUUAUCAUCCUUGCCUUCCAGUUGCGUAAUGCUUACGUAAGCACGGAGCAAGGGGCGGGGGUUCGAUUCCCUCUCAGUGUA